rnacentral:lncRNA from 1 species
CUCUUUGCCCUCUCGGGGCGGAAGGAACGCGGCGGGCCUGAGACAGGGCUGGCGCGGCCUGAAGCGCCAGCCUUUGGCGAUGCUGCGGCCGGCCGGCUGCUCGGUGUCGGGCUCCUCCGCCAGCGUCGAGCUGGAGUCGCGCGCCGGCCCGCUGUGGGGUCGGGCGUCCGAGGCCCAGCCGGCCCGAGAAGUAGGCUCGGUCCGAGCUGGACGCUGCAGGUUCUGACCUCGAAACGGGGGCCUGAGUCCUUCAAGAGCCUGGGGGCGAAGAGACGAGAAGGCGGCUGCAUUUUGCUGAAUGGUGGUGGUGUUUGGGGUUUUUUAAAAUCCUUUCUCCCCCAUUUUCCUUUUUACACUUUUUUUCUUUAAAAAAGAUUUUUUUUGGUCUUUGCUCUUUUAUUCGUUGGGGGAGUGAAUGCUGUCAGUGGCGAAGUAAAAUUAGGAAGGGGCCCUUGCCCGGCUGGCGCCUUCUCUGCGCGCUGACCUGCGGGCGAGGCUUGGGGCAGAGCUCGGCGGAGGGCGGAGGCCGCAAGUGGAGGGCCAUGCAGAUUGGAUCAAACCAGAAAUAAGGCUCUCUGUCCAGAAAAAGCCUUCACUGAAAGAAAUAACGUGCUUAAGGAAGGAACGUAUAAGUCAGGAAUUGAGCCAAGAAAAGCCUGCGAAGUAAAUAUUUGGCAGGGUCCCAGUCUGAAGGGGAAAGUCUCCCGAGCAGUUCUGGAGGCCAGAAUCUGAAAUCAAAGUGUCAACAGGGCUAUGCUCCCAGAAGCUUUAGGAGAGAAUCUGUUCCUUGGCUUUUCCAGUUUCUGGUGUGUGCUGGCAUUCCUGGGCUUGAAGGCACAAUCAGUUCAUCUUCAAUUGCCUUCUCUGGGGAGACGUGCGUUGUGCACCCAUGAAACUGACCUUGUUUGGGAGUCAUGGACAUAUGCAUGAUAUUUAAAGCCAUGAGAUUGGAUGAGAUCAUCAAAGGAAUAAGAUCAUCAAAGGAUGGAGAAGAGGACCAGAGGCUGUGGUCAUCGGGAUGAACAAAACUGAGUAAGCAGAUGGGAGCUGCUUCAGGGAGUGUUGGGAGCUCAAGCUGUGUGAGAGGGGCUCAAAGCCCAGGGUGCUAGAUGGUGCCAGCUACUUCUGCACGGUUGCCAAUGGAAACCAGAUAACUGGACUCUGACUGAAGCAGACAUGCCACCUUACGUCUUCCAUGAGAAGGACCGUAGGUUUCUGGCACAGUCCAAGUGUCCAGAGGAUUGUCAACACUCGUAUCAAUGGGCCCGUAGCUCCUGGAUUCCAGGGAAGGCAUCACUCCUCGUGGCUCUUACCCUCCUCCUGGGGUCAGCAGAAAGGCUGGAGCAGCUCUUCUCACAGAAGGGUCAAGAGGUCAAGUGGAGGCGUGAGAAGCAUCUUCGGGCCUAUGCUUGACACUGGCACAUUGUCCCUUGUUGGCCUAAGAGAGUGACAAAGACAAGAAAUGGGGACGUGCACUCUAUACAUGGACAUGGUGAUAGGAGAGGGGAUUCAUAGCUCUGAUCUAAUCUCUCUCUCUCUACAUCUGCGUACAUGUAUGUAUCUACAUUUAUCCAUCUAUAUACAUCUAUCUCCACAGCUACAUGUAUAUACAUUACCUAUUUAUCUCUACAUCUAUCUAUCUAUCCAUCUACAUCUAUAUACAUCUGUCUGUCUCUACAUCUACAUACAGGCAUAUAUUUACACUUAUCUAUCUAUCCAUCUACAUAUAUCUGUCUAUCUACAUCUAUUUAUCUGUCUAUAUAUUUAGAGAUAUUCAUUUCUAUGUGUAUAUAAAGAGUUUUAAAAAAGGAUAGACCACAAAUUAAUGGGAGUUUUGUGAACAUGGUAGAUUUUAAAAUCAUUUUUAUUUUUUCUUUAAAUUUUUGCCAUACGUACCCUGCUUGGUGUAAUCUUAUAACAACAAUAAAGACAUUUUAUUGC